GAUGAAGAACGUAGCGAAAUGCGAUAAGUAAUGUGAAUUGCAGAAUUCAGUGAAUCAUCGAGUUUUUGAACGCACAUUGCGCCCCCCGGCAUUCCGGGGGGCAUGUCCGACCGAGCGCCGCCGCGCAGCUCAGGAGACCGCGAGGUCGCCUGGCGUUGGGGCCUGCGAUCCCCGGGUGGUCCUCGCCGCCCGCGCAGCCCCGAAAUCCAGCGGCGGCCGCCGCGGGCCUCUCCCACGCGCAGUAGAAAACCUGCCUGGGGAGGCCCCGCCACGCGGCCCGCCCGGCGCUGCAGCGCAGCAAAACCCGUCGUCGAAUCCGUUGGCCUCGGGUCGGACAAGGCUACCCGCUGAACUUAAGCAUAUCAAUAAGCGGAGGA
rnacentral:misc_RNA from 1 species